rnacentral:rRNA from 1 species
CCCUUAGAUGUCCUGGGCUGCACGCGCGCUACACUGAUGUGUCCAGUAAGCACCUAACCUCUUCCGAAAGGAACGGGUAACCUUUGCAAAGCACAUCGUGAUGGGGAUAGAUUAUUGCAAUUAUUAGUCUUGAACGAGGAAUUCCUAGUAAGCACAAGUCAUCAGCUUGUGUUGAUUACGUCCCUGCCCUUUGUACACACCGCCCGUCGCUCCUACCGAUUGAAUGUUUCGGUGAAGAUUCCGGAUAGGACUUUUUUGAUUUAUUUCAAUUUUGUCUUAAAAGCUAUCUAAACCUCAACAUUUAGAGGAAGGUGAAGUCGUAACA